UUUCACAUGAUGAGUCAGUGACCAAGUGUGAAUGUUCUUGUACCGGUCCAUUGCAGUUGGGACACAUGAGUGUACAUAAAUAUGAGCACAGAACAGGUACUUCUCAGUCUGUGUUGGGCGAUCUUAGAUUACAAUUAAAAAGACCUCGCAGCAGAACUCGCAAUGAUUCCUCUAGUUAUCCUGUGGUCUGGGCUUCUUCUGUACCUUCCUCCUCCAACCAGCCCGGCAUGCUUUCUGGGUAAAGAAGCAGAGUGUCGAGAUGCAAAGAGAGAAGCAGAAGCAGAGUGUGCCAGGAUCUGACUUGGCUGGAGAGGGUUUCGACAUAACUAAGAUGCAACGCCUGGGCACUUUUGUCAUCGACAUGAGUAAGUGGGAGCUCAAGAAUAACACAUGUAACCUGUGCAAAAACCCAUUCAUGCAGAACAAAAAGCAGAAGCUCCCGGUGUCUGUGCUUUACUGGAGGGCCACCCAAAAGUGCAAAAGGUCAUUAUCCAGCUCCAUUUAUGAGUCCAGCGAGUCCCUGGUCAGUUCCAGCACCUCCUCCGUAGAGAACAACUGGAAAGUCGGCCUGGGAAUAGGCAACAUGGUAAGUAAGAUGUCGGUGAUGUUGGCUGGAACGAACUCCAGACUCGCUGAGUAUUCAAUGGCAAAGACCAAAAAGGACAAGUUCAGCUUCAUCAAGCAGUCUACAUCCUGCGGAUACUAUGGAUACAGAAUUAGCAGCCGCUCUCCUCUUCAUCACGAGCUAAGUUAUGAAUUAACCACACUUCCGGAGACAUAUGACAACCAAACAAAAGAAAGCUACUUGUCACUUAUUGAAAAGUUUGGCACACAUUACACUGUCCAUGUGAAACUGGGUGGAACAGUGCAAUCUGUGACCAGUGUAAAAGAAUGCAUGGCUACUCUACAGGACCUCAGUACGGAUGAGGUCAAAACAUGUCUGGACGUCGAGGCAUCUGCAAGUGUAAUGGGGAGGAUCAGCAUAGACACGGCAUACCGUCACUGUAAAGAGAGCAAAGACAAAAAACUGAGCAAGCACAGUUUUUCUAACAGUUUUACUGACAGGUUAACUGAAAUCACGGGUGGCCAUGCUCAAGACACAGCGCUCCUCUUCUCAGCCAGUAAUGACCCUGGUGCUUUCAAUCAGUGGCUGUCCACAGUGCCAGAAAAACCAGAAAUUAUUUCCUUUUCACUGAAGCCCCUCCAUAUGUUGCUGCCAGUCAAGGACCCAAAAUAUGAGCAGUUACGCCGAGCCAUUCGUGACUACAUACUGCAGAGGGCCCUUUGGAAGAAAUGCUCUACACCUUGCAAGGCCGGUAUCGCAACUAACCCCAAAGAGCCCUGUGUGUGCACCUGUCAUAACAACCCUGGAGUUAAAGCAAACUGCUGCCCUGCACAGCUCGGACUUGCUCAGAUUAGUGUAACUGUGAUGAAGGCAACAGGUCUGUGGGGAGAUUACUUCUCACAGACUGAUGGCUAUGUCAAGGUCCUGAGAAAUCAUAAGUUCUUUCUAGGGGAAACAUCAGUGAUUUGGAACCAAAACUCACCAACCUGGAACUGGAAUUUUGAUCUCGGCAGUUUCGUUCUCUCUCAGUUUGGGGGGCUGAGACUAGAAGUGUGGGAUAGGGACAACAAGUGGGACGAUGACCUCCUGGGGGCGUGCAACAUACAACUAAAAGCCGGGGUAAAAAGCGACUUCUGUCGACUUAACCAUGGUUUGCUGUACUACAAAACGAAUGUAACUUGUGCUCCUAGUUUAGCUGGCCCCUCAUGCACCCAGUACGUGGGCUCUCCGAUGGCCUCCCAUCUAGAGAAGGUAUAUGUGUCACGACACGCCCGUCCCAUCCCCAAAGAUGAGCUGGUGAAAAUGGGGGUGCUUUUAGAUGAGCGCCGCUUUUUGUUAAGUCAAACCAGUGAUCCUAAAAGCAAAACGCAGACUUUGUGAAAGCUUAUCAUCAAAGCACAAUAAAAUAAGUAAAAAAAAAAAAAAAAUCUUCAAAUAAAAUGUAUAAAAAAUUGUGUUUUGCAUCUCAGCAUUAAAGUGAUGGAUAACUAUCCCUUUAACAUUUUAUUAUCGAUGCUUAAUUAGCUUUUUCUUUUAUUUUUGCUAUUCAGAUCUUUAAUACGAUCUGUGGGUGUUUGCUUUAUUCUCUCAGUAUGCUUUGCACUUACUUGCAUGCAAAUUUUUGUGGUUAAUAAAACAAUCAUGAAAACAGCA